CUCCGCAGGCGUGGUUGCUGUGUUGUGUUUACUCGGCCGAGUCCCAGCGCUUCCGCGACGCCGCGUCUUCUCCGAGAGUGAAAUGCUGUCUGGCUGCUGAAGGCGCCCACCAGCAUCACCUGCGAGGCUCGUGCCCAGCUGCACUUUAACUGUUUCUCUUUCCUGCAUUCAGUGAACGCAUAAAACAACGGACCCGUUUUCGACGUUCAACCGAUAUACGAUGGCUUUACGUCAGUAAGGAGUCACUGACCAGCUCUACACUGUCGGCGAACAUGGAUAACCCGGGGUUCCAGAACGACGAGUGCGGCGCGAUGCCGCGGCUGGCGCGCUCUCCCAGCCUGUCGCCGAGCGAGUGCCGGGUGCACGCGCCCGCCCCCGCCGCCCCAGCCACUG